rnacentral:lncRNA from 1 species
GUCACCGUACGGACUUCCACCCAAACAAAGAACCAAUGUCGCUUUUACUUUAGAUUUAUGACUCAAUUAAAUUUUAUUAUGUAAAAUACAUAGGCAGAACUACAUCUCAAAUGGAAUGAUCAGAUCUAUUAUAUUGAAAAGAUUCUUGACAACCUGAUUUUGUAACGAGUAUUUAGUAAAAUAAAUUUGUCGUAGUCUUUAAUGGUAGCGUAGAAGAAGAACACAUACAAUAAGAGUAAGUGAUGUGUAAGGCGGUAUAAAAAUAUUAAAACUAGUCCAACAGGUCAUGUCCAAUGUGAAAUGAUAGCUCAUUAGGAACUGAUUCCAACAAUACUUUUAAUAGUUAUCAAAGGUACCAGGAUUAUAAUUUAGGACGCCAGUCGCGCGUUUCG